rnacentral:tRNA from 1 species
UGCGGAUGUGGUGAAAUUGGUAAACACGCAUGCUUGAGGGGCAUGUUUUUUACGAGUUCGAGUCUCGUCAUCCGCAA